AGUGAACGCUGGCGGCAGGCCUAACACAUGCAAGUCGAGCGGCAGCGGGUCCCCGCGAGGGGAUGCCGGCGAGCGGCGGACGGGUGAGGAACACAUCGGAAUCUGCCUGGUUGUGGGGGAUAACGUAGGGAAACUUACGCUAAUACCGCAUGAGACCCUGAGUCGACGGACUGGGGGUGAAAGUGAGGGACCUUCGGGCCUCACGCGACCAGAUGAGCCGAUGUCGGAUAGCUAGUUGGCGGGGUAACGGCCCGCCAAGGCGACGAUCCGUAGCUGGUCUGAGAGGAUGAUCAGCCACACUGGGACUGAGACACGGCCCAGACUCCUACGGGAGGCAGCAGUGGGGAAUCUUGGACAAUGGGCGCAAGCCUGAUCCAGCCAUG
rnacentral:rRNA from 1 species